rnacentral:rRNA from 1 species
GGGCGAAAGCCUGAUGGAGCAACGCCGCGUGAGUGAAGAAGGAUUUCGGUUCGUAAAACUCUGUUGUAAGGGAAGAACAAGUACAGUAGUAACUGGCUGUACCUUGACGGUACCUUAUUAGAAAGCCACGGCUAACUACGUGCCAGCAGCCGCGGUAAUACGUAGGUGGCAAGCGUUGUCCGGAAUUAUUGGGCGUAAAGCGCGCGCAGGUGGUUUCUUAAGUCUGAUGUGAAAGCCCACGGCUCAACCGUGGAGGGUCAUUGGAAACUGGGAGACUUGAGUGCAGAAGAGGAUAGUGGAAUUCCAAGUGUAGCGGUGAAAUGCGUAGAGAUUUGGAGGAACACCAGUGGCGAAGGCGACUAUCUGGUCUGUAACUGACACUGAGGCGCGAAAGCGUGGGGAGCAAACAGGAUUAGAUACCCUGGUAGUCCACGCCGUAAACGAUGAGUGCUAAGUGUUAGGAGGUUUCCGCCCCUUAGUGCUGCAGCUAACGCAUUAAGCACUCCGCCUGGGGAGUACGGUCGCAAGACUGAAACU